GUGAGGAAUAUUGCGCAAUGGGGGCAACCCUGACGCAGCAACGCCGCGUGGGUGAAGAAGGCCUUCGGGUCGUAAAACCCUUUUCUGGGGGACGAGUGAGGACGGUACCCCAGGAAUAAGUCCCGGCUAACUACGUGCCAGCAGCCGCGGUAAAACGUAGGGGGCGAGCGUUAUCCGGAUUUACUGGGCGUAAAGCGCGUGCAGGCGGCUGGGCAGGUUGGACGUGAAAGCUCCUGGCUCAACUGGGAGAGGUCGUUCAAUACCGCCCGGCUUGAGGACGGAAGAGGGGAGUGGAAUUCCCGGUGUAGUGGUGGAAUGCGUAGAGAUCGGGAGGAACACCUGUGGCGAAAGCGGCUCCCUGGUCCGCACCUGACGCUCAGACGCGAAAGCGUGGGGAGCGAACGGGAUUAGAUACCCCAGUAGUCC
rnacentral:rRNA from 1 species